GAUUAACGCUGGCGGCGUGCAUAACACAUGCAAGUCGAACGAGUGGCGGACGGGUGAGGAAUGUAUGGGGAUCUGCCUGAUGGCGGGGGAUAACUACUGGAAACGGUAGCUAAUACCGCAUACCAUCAGAUGAACCCAUAUGGGAUUAGCUAGUAGGGAAGGUAACGGCUUAACUAGGCGACGAUCCCAAGCUGGUCUGGGAGGAUGAUCAGUGACUCUGGGAUUGAGACAGGUCCCAGAUUCCUACGGGAGGCAGCAGUGGGGAAUAGUGCACAAUGGGCGCAAGCCUGAUGCAGCCAUGCCGCGUGUAUGAAGAAGGCCUUCGGGUUGUAAAGUACUUUCAGUCGGGAGGCGUUACCGACAGAAGAAGCACCGGCUAACUCCGUGCCAGCAGCCGCGGUAAUUC
rnacentral:rRNA from 1 species